GACCUUAAUCUGUUUACUGAAGUCCCACUGCUAAAUGAUAGACUCACCCCUGUUUCUCUGCAUCCCUUGCCCCUCCCUCAUGCAGACCAGACCAACACAACCAUGACUUAGUCUCUCUGCACUGGUCCAAUCGCUGCUCAGUGCCGUCUGAGUAGAGCGCUCUCCUUUUAAAUCCCCCUCUCUGUGGUGAAUCAGCACUCGCAGCGCAGCCCUCCGGUGAUACAGCAGGUGGUAGAGGAGUCUACUGAAACAGCCUACAGUAGCAUUUUCCGGCCGUGAGUGGGGCCUUCAUGGAUUCCCCGUACAAUGGCAACACGUCCCUCCAGACCUCCACCUCCAACCUCAACGCCAACUUCUCCCGGCCGACCGAGGCGGAAGAGGAGGGCAAGUACUCCAGUGACGCCAUCUGGCUUUGGGUGGCCGUCAUUGCAACCAUCGGCAACAUAGUAGUGGUAGCAGUGGUUUGCGCCUGUGCCUUCUAAGACUCGUUAGUUACAAGCACACAGCCGAACCUCCCUCUUGCCACCUUUUCCCCCUCCACUUUAACCUAUCCCCUGUAUUCGUUUUCAUCUGGUAUGUGUCCAUCCGUAAUAUUAAAGCCAAGGCCCUGUUCUGAGGGUCGCCGGAAUAUGAUCGUGAAAAUAUAGGGAUUGAUUUAACUGAUGUUCUGUAGGACUAUGAAUGCGUUUGUAAGUCUAGGAAUGAGAGCGAGAGAGACAAUCCUCUGGAGUUACCAUACUGUAUCUUACCUAAAGCCUAUGUCUCCCACUGUGUUUUUUUAUUUAUUUUAAUGAUAAACGGGGAAGUGAGCUGAUGUGGGCUGUGCCUUUGUAUAAUGAACAUUUUGUAAAUGAUUUAUGGGAAAUGGGCAUUGUAUAAAGCAGCCUCCCUUCUGCUUUCCAAUCGGAGGUGUCACCAGAGGUCAGCCUAAAGGAAGGGAAGUGGAAGUGUAGGGAAGUGGGAAGUGCACAGGGAAAGUGUACAGCUGUGAGAUCCCCUCUGCCUAUGAACCUGAACAGAACACCACCCCAUAUAUCUUUGUCUGGUUGAUGUCAUGUGCCUGUUUGUCUGAAAUUAAUGUGUUGAUGCUGCUGUCUUGGUCCAGGUCUCUCUUGAAAAUUCGAUUUUUUUGUUGUUGUAUCUCAAUGAGACCGACCUGGUUAAAUAAGGGUGAUAUAAAUAAACACGGAAUCAGCAGUUCCCGUUGUGGUUGGCCACUGUCUCGGAGACCAGUGGAGAGAUAUGUGACAGAUGGUGGCUGGUAGGAGCGCCGAGGGGACAGCGGAGGGGCCCAGGGCAGACUUGGCAGUACCCCUCAGUACUCGGUGUUCUUUCCUGUGACUGCUGCACCACUGCACUACCAUUCACCAUUACUGCUCUGUCCUGUCCUCAUCGGCCUCUGUGAUAGAAAUCUCCCUAAGCACUUUAUAAAAACCCAAUAAACUGGGGAGUUUUCUUCUGUUUCAACUGCAAUGUUCUGGGCUCACCUGUUGCAUCUCUGCAGUGGCUGUAGACCUGUGCCAGUUGAACUAUGCAGUGAUGGCAUCCCACUGGUUACACACUGGUUGAAUAUGGCACGUCAUUUCAAUUAAAUGUUCCCCGUGCGGAUAGCUGUGGAUAAUGUUUAGAAGUGAGACCGAUGUAUACAAACACAGUAUCACCCACAAGCCAAAUGAGGGAAUUAAGUUGUCAGCACACGUCUUAUGUUAUACCACCCCUGCUGACAUUAUCUGCAAUUACGGAGCCACCAAUUACAUCGCACUAAAUCAUUGAGCCGCCCACCAUAACCAGACUAUCCCAAAUGACCAGACCGCCGCUACGAAGGCCCCACGCUGUUGAGCUAGCAAUGAAAUGAUUUUGCUCCUGUCAUAAGAAACCCCAUUGCUGUUAACGUUAGUUUUUUGUUGUUGUUGUGCCAGGCAGAAUCUCACAUUCACCUCAGAUUGUCUCUCAGUAGACUAGUGUGUGUAGGUGGCAGCCUCCCCAGUAGUUCUGUGCUGUGCUGUCUCCCAUGCACCCAGUGGAGUGGGGCCACAGACUUGUCAAGCGGCAGGGCUGUAAUGAGACGUAAUGCCUCUCUCUCUCUCUCUCUCUAUCUCUUUCCUAAAGCGAACACUGACCUCUCAGUUGCGCUGCGGUGAUCAGAGCAGAUCUGAUCCCUGCUGCACUCGGCUGCGCUGAACAAAGAUAGUGCUUCAAAGUGCAUUUUUAGACUGGGACUUCCUCAUUUAAUCAGCACUCGUUGUGAUUGAAAGGGAGAGGAGGAGGAGAGAGGAGUGACCGCAUGGGAUUGGAUUUGUAACAGCCAACUUCCAUGUCAUCGCUUUGAAUUACAGGACUUUUUUUGAAGUACAAUGGAAAAUAUAUAUUUUUUUAUUGAAACCAACGAAGUGGAAUAGAAGGUUUUAAGAUGGAGAGAUUUAGGAUCAAAAGUCAGGCUGAGACAUCACUCCAAACAGCUAAUUGCCCUGAUCUCACUGUACAGUAGUGUUAAUGAAAACAAGAGACAGAUUCAUCAUGGCGUCUCUGAGCGGUCCUUUUCAGGUUCCUUAGAGAGCUUAGUCUGAAGAAACCUGAGGGAACAGUAAUGCAUUGUCUCUUAACAAUAAACAACAACAAACCAAAAAAACGCUAGUUUCUCUAUGGCACAGUAUGGGGCGUCAUAAGUAUCUGCUGGCAAUAACUCAAGAUGACGCUAACAAGUUAGUAUUAUACAUCCCCACUAUAUGUAGUUACUUUAAUACAUUAACUAUUCUGAAACAACAUGCAUAUGAACUAGGUGAGGAAUCCCAAGUUAGCUAUAAUAUGAAUUUCUUCUACCCUUGUGUCGGCUGUGUGCUUUGACAUGGGACUGGUUAAGGCUCCGGUGCCCACUGUCUACGGCUCAAAUUAUGUGCCUGAGCUGACUAACACAACACCUACCCGUCAACUGCUUAUGUGACCAUGGACGCUCCUUAACCACCAUGGGACGAUGGUCCUCCUCCACAUGACGGAACGUCAUCACAGCCUCAAGCCCCAGGUACCGCGUGACCCCGUUUGCAACACCACGUAGGCGCGGUUCACCAGACACAGGCGAAUAAAGCUAAUCCUGUACUCCAAAAAACAUCCAGAUGGAGAUUCUCUAUUGAGCCUAAUGUUUAUUAACUAGUGUCCGGGAAACUGCCCUUUUACUGUUUUUAAGAUUUGUUUUUAAUUACCGCCUCCAGGUAAAAAAGUGAAUUGUUGAGCUAUACAUUAUGCAUCUGCCUGUUAAAGGGAACAGUUCUUUUUUUUAGUGUUGGGGAACUUGGAGUGAUGCUUCAUUCAUAAUCACAUUUGUUUUCAUGUACUGUUUCUUUAUUUCUAUAAGUCAACAUUACUUCAGUCGUACUAAGUCUACUGUAGAUCUUGAGUUUAAACAUUCCGCUAAGCAUGUCGUCUCCUUAUUCCUUCUAAUGGAUUAGUAGUGCAUCUCAAUGCGGUGUUAACUGAGAGCAUGUGUAGACUUGUCAUCAUGUAUCCUCUACUGCAUUAUAUGAUAAAUGUCAAAUUCGUAAAGAAAUACUACUAUGACAAAACUCAGCUGUUAAAUGGGGGAGACGUGGCCAUAGGGUGCUCCCUCCACCAACAGAUGCAUUUCACCACGUUUGACUUCCUCCCUCCAUAGGCCCAGAGGGGACUGCUUAAUUACAGCCCAUAGAGCACUGCACGUUCCAUCCUCCUUCUCCUUUCCCCUCUGUUCUCUCUUCUUCCACCCCUCCAUCCAUCCAUCCAUCCAUGCAGGGCACUAGACCGUGGUGUCUGCGUUGGCACUGACCUCUGACUCGAGGCAGGGCACCUCAUGCCCACAUGCCUCUUCCUUCCCAGGCAGCAAGAAAUAGUCCGGCCGUUGCUGAGGAAAUGGACGAGUCACUCCUACGAGAGGAGAAUUGUAGGAGCAAGGAGCAGCUGGACUCCCAGGAAUUGUCCAUCCUUCCUCUGCCCCCAGGAACACAUAGGCUCAUUAAAGCAGACUUCCUGUAUCCUCAGUACAGCAGAGACAGUAUGGGUGACUAGGGGCUGUGACUUUUUUAAAAGCACCUACAGGGUAAAGACUACAUGGGGGCUAGGAGGGAUAUUAUGGAAGAGGUGGGACUUGAGAGGUGACGGACAUCAUAUUCAUGACUUCAGCAAAUAAUACCGUAUCUUAUCCAAGGUUACUUAGUAGUUGACUUUCUUUUAGAAUGUGCUGUGACUCAUAACACUCAAAAGAACGUAGAAAGUGAAACCACACUAGGAAAAGAGCAAGAUCCUUCUGGAGUCCUAUACGUCUUGUUUUAGAAAUGGAUACCUGACAGCGAUUCACACAUUCAUUGCAACGAAUGGAGAUGGAUACACAUCGACUUUGUCGACUCUGAACACUUGGAUUCUACUUUUCUGUGCAUCCAGUUGUAGGGUUGUACGUUCUGAUUACCUCCCUGUAGGUGUCAGGGUUACCACUAUGAAAUAAUGAUUAUCAAAAGGCUAUUGGCUAAAUACAGUCACUGUGUUUGUUAAAUUCAUUCACAAUGUUCAUUCACAAAAGCAUUCUAUAACAAUUACUUCAUACAAAAUACUGCACAGAGUCACAUUACCGCAAUGUGUUUUAAAUUAUAUUUCCAGGGAGGGGGGUACUUAUUGUCUUGACUUCCCAUAAAUAUAUGACCUACAUUCCUUGUUUAAAAAAGGAAAUGAAACCGUUUGGGAUUUCUUUUAAUUUCAGUGUGUGUAAUCAUGAUUGCAGUGUACAGUAUAAGCACUAUGAGAGUUAUUGAAACCAGUUUUAUUUUUAAACCUGAUAUGAGGCUCGUUAUUAUUUUGUUCCCAUGCUAGAUUAACCAAAACACACACACACACACAUUGUGGCUUGCAUUACAUGAGCCAGGAUUCAAUACGUGUACCUUUUUAUGAGGAUAAUAGUUGUGUGCACGUCAGUAAAUUAGACCAGCUCUGUUGUUCAUAUGCUCCUCAUUAGUCCCAACAUCCAAGCCAUAUGUGCAUGCUCAUUGGAAAGACAUCUUAAUAUGGAAAACACUUAAAUGCAGCUGGUGCGAGACCACUUUACAGUUCAACAAUGAUCAUUUUCUUGGGUUUUCAAUUUCAACUGUGAUAUUUUGAUUUAGUAUAAGCGUACUUAUCUAGCUUGUUUGCAUGUGUUGGGUUAUUUCCAUCCCAACAUUUUGUUAGUUGACUACUCUGCAAGCUGCGUUCCAGUAAGGGAUAUGUAAAAAUCAUGAUCUUAUUUUGAUGGAAUAUUGAUUGAAUGAUGAAUUACUUUGUACAUGAACAAAUAUGUAGAACUAAUGUUUAUUCGUUUUGAGGAAUAUUUUUUUGUAAACUUUUUAUCGAUCGUGUACUUUUUCCCAAUGUUUUAGUAAUUCAGUCAGUGCAGAAACAUUGCUGCUAAAAGCCUUGUUGUAUUUAUUUUUACACACUCUUGCAAGCGAACAGAAAAGCUUAGAAGUAGAUGUGUUUUAUACCUGCAUAAUUAAAAAUCUAUAUUGUCUGUUAACCUCAUGAUUUUACCAUCCUUUAUAAUUCAAUUAAAUUGAUAGGAAUGUGAAAAUGA